UACGUAUGGAGCAAGCGUUAUCCGGAUUUACUGGGUGUAAAGGGUGCGUAGGUGGCAGUGCAAGUCAGAUGUGAAAGGCCAGGGCUCAACCCCGGAGCUGCAUUUGAAACUGCAUAGCUAGAGUACAGGAGAGGCAGGCGGAAUUCCUAGUGUAGCGGUGAAAUGCGUAGAUAUUAGGAGGAACACCAGUGGCGAAGGCGGCCUGCUGGACUGUUACUGACACUGAGGCACGAAAGCGUGGGGAGCAAACAGG
rnacentral:rRNA from 1 species